AGCGAACGCUGGCGGCAGGCUUAACACAUGCAAGUCGAGCGGGCCCUUCGGGGUUAGCGGCGGACGGGUGAGUAACGCGUGGGAACGUGACUUCUGGUUCGGAAUAACCCUGGGAAAAUAGGGCUAAUACCGGAUACGCCUUUUUGGGGAAAGGUUUACUGCCGGAAGAUCGGCCCGCGUCUGAUUAGCUAGUUGGUGGGGUAACGGCCUACCAAGGCGACGUUCAGUAGCUGGUCUGAGAGGAUGAUCAGCCACACUGGGACUGAGACACGGCCCAGACUCCUACGGGAGGCAGAAGUGGGGAAUAUUGGACAAUGGGCGCAAGCCUGAUCCAGCCAUGCCGCGUGAGUGAUGAAGGCCUUAGGGUUGUAAAGCUCUUUUAUCCGGGACAAUAAUGACGGUACCGGAGGAAUAAGCCCCGGCUAACUUCGUGCCAGCAGCCGCCGUAACAC
rnacentral:rRNA from 1 species